AACUAACGCUGGCGGCGCGUCUUAAACAUGCAAGUCGAGCGGCAGCACUUCGGGUGGCGAGCGGCGAACGGGUGAGUAACACGUAGGUAAUUUGCCCACGGAUGGGGGAUAACCUUUCGAAAGGAAGGCUAAUACCGCAUAACACCACGGUGUCUAUGGACAUUGUGGUCAAAGCAGCAAUGCGUCUGUGGAGAAGCCUGCGUCCGAUUAGGUAGUUGGUGAGGUAACGGCUCACCAAGCCAGCGAUCGGUAGCCGGCCUGAGAGGGUGAACGGCCACACUGGAACUGGGACACGGUCCAGACUCCUACGGGAGGCAGCAGUUAAGAAUCUUGCGCAAUGGAGGCAACUCUGACGCAGCGACGCCGCGUGUGCGAUGAAGGCCCUCGGGUUGUAAAGCACAACAAACAGGGAAGAAGAAAGUGACGGUACCUGUCUGAAGCACCGGCUAACUACGUGCCAGCAGCCGCGGUAAUACGUAUGGUGCAAGCGUUGUUCGGAA
rnacentral:rRNA from 1 species